GGGAAUAUAGUUACAUUGAUUUAUAAUAUUUAUUUUGCUAAUAAAAGUAAUUUUAAUAAUUAUUCUUA
rnacentral:tRNA from 1 species